rnacentral:lncRNA from 1 species
GCUUAGAGACCAAAGAGUGGAUUUCUCCCCAUCUCCAAGUUAGGAUCGUCUUCCCUCUCGAUCUUCAAGAGGUAAGCUUAGAUCCUACCCCUCUUGUAUGUUUUAAACGAGUUUUAUGAAGUUUUAUGGGGUAGAAAUGCAUGUUUAGGUUAUUGUUGGUUUUAUGGUUAAUGUUAUGUUUUUGAGCAAUGUGGGUUGUUUGAUGUGUUGUAGUUGGGGUUUAGGAUAGUUUGAAGCCCCUAGGAGCUUAUAUGCUUGAGUUUGCAUGUUGUAGAAUAGGUAAAUGCAUGUUGAAUGAGUUGGGAGGCUUUUGUGCAUGUUAGAGGC